GGUGACACUUCCCUUUAUGAGACAAUCCAACUCAGCAGAGCCUCAGGAAACGCAGAGAAGAUUCAUCAUCCAGCAGAAGAUACUGACUAUGCUAAUUGCUAACCCAGGAAAGAGGAAUGUGAUGGUUGGUUCUCCAUCAGGGCUGGUCCAAGGCAAAGGCAACGCAAACUGAUUGUCUGCUUAGGGCCCGGGGCUGCUAGGGGGCCCUCAAGUGGAAGUGAUUCAUUUUUUUUUUUUUGUUAUUAAUGAUUUCUAUGUGAUUACAUUAACAAAAACACACAAUUUCCUUAUAAAGUUGUGAUUUUUUUUAUACAAUAACAUAUUUGAUAACAACAACAACAACCAUAAUAAUAAUAAUAAUAAUCUACAGUCAAAAAAAUAAAAAUGGCCACAGUGGGUCACGCUUCACCGGUAAUAUGAGCUGCCUGUAAUGUGCAGUGAACCAGUGGAAGAUAAGUUAGCAAAACAAUGGCGCA